rnacentral:rRNA from 1 species
AAUCAACGCUGGCGGCGUGCCUCAGACAUGCAAGUCGAACGCGAAAGGUUCCUUCGGGGACCGAGUAGAGUGGCGCACGGGUGAGUAACACGUAGGUAAUUUGCCUUUGGGUGGGGAAUAACUCAGGGAAACUUGAGCUAAUACCGCAUAAUGCAGCGGCUCGACAUCGAGACAGUUGUUAAAGCGGGGGAUUCGCAAGAACCUCGCGCCUAAAGAGAAGCCUGCGGCAGAUUAGCUAGUUGGUAAGGUAAUGGCUUACCAAGGCGACGAUCUGUAACCGGCCUGAGAGGGCGGUCGGUCACACUGACACUGACAUACGGGUCAGACUCCUACGGGAGGCAGCAGUCGGGAAUUUUGGGCAAUGGGCGAAAGCCUGACCCAGCAACGCCG